rnacentral:lncRNA from 1 species
GUUAUCAUUAUUAACAUUUAUAAUGUAUCAUGUUCACUAACUAAUCCCUAUUUGUACUACUACUAGGGGUGUGCAUGGUCGGAUAAUUUGACAAACCAAACCAUAUCCAAACCGAAACCAUUUAAUUAGAUUUGGAUUCAUAACCAUAACCAUAUUUUAUUAUAAACCGGUUAUAAAACUGGUUAUAAAUUUGGUUAUGGAUAUAUAACCAGUUAUUUUAACCAAACCAAAUUUAAAAGUGGUCAUUUUUUAAAUUCAAUUUUUAACCGGUUAUUUUUAAAUAUGAUAAAAAAAAUCAGUUAUUUCAUUUUAAAAACUGGUUUUAAGACAAUUUAAAAAAAACUUUUUUUUUUUUUUGAAAAAAAUCUAAAUUUAGUAAAACUUGCGUAAAAAAAAUAGUAAAGAAAUCAGAAUUUUAUACAUAGAAUAAAUUUCUAUAUUUUAUUUUGAUAAUGUAAUUGAAUUUCCUUCAUUUAAUUUUAUUUAUUUUAAUAAAAUCGACCAUAAACCUAAAAAUUGACCGAAAAAUCGAAAAAAUCGGCGGAAAAACCUAAAAUCGGCUGAAAAACCUAAAAUCGACCAAAAGCCCUAAAAUCGACUAUAAACUCUAAAAUCGGCUGAAACCCAAAAAAUUAAUCGAUUUUUGGUUUUUCGGCC